GCAUGUGAGGGUGAUGUGGCUAUGAUGGCUAUGACGUCUGUCACUCCAUUGAUUCUGGGUUGAUUCAGUUUAUCUGGCUGGCUAGGUAGGUGUAUCUUUCCUCCCUCUCUACUCCCCAUGUGUCUCUCCCAAAGCUGCUGUCCAUCAAGGAGGAUGAAGAGGUCCACCACCACCCCCGCCCAGUAGGGGAGGACUGCUUCCUCACCAAGAGUACAUGACUAGUUGUGCCCCCUGCUAGAACCUCCAAAGAAGCUUCCCAGAACAGAAGCCAAAGUUUUCUGUGGGAAUAGAAAAGGAGAGCUCUUGGAUGUGGGUGUCCUAAGGGAGCUCAUUCU
rnacentral:snRNA from 1 species